ACACGACUACAUUAGAUACCCGUGUAGUCCUAGCCGUAAACGAUACUCGCUAGGUGUCGGCCACGGUGCGACCGUUGUCGGUGCCGUAGGGAAGCCGUGAAGCGAGCCACCUGGGAAGUACGGCCGCAAGGCUGAAACUUAAAGGAAUUGGCGGGGGAGCACCACAACGGGUGGAGCUUGCGGUUUAAUUGGAUUCAACGCCGGAAAUCUUACCGGGACCGACAGCAACAUGAAGGCCAGGCUGAAGACUUUGCCGGAUUAGCCG
rnacentral:rRNA from 1 species